ACUCAAAUGAAUUGACGGGGAGGCACACAACCAGUGGAACAUGUGGUUUAAUUCGAAACGAACCGAAGAACCUCACCAAGGUUUGACAUCUUAUGGAAAGUUUUAUGAAAGUAGAACCCUUCGCAAGAACCGUAAGACAGGUGCUGCAUGGCUGUCGUCAGCUCGUUCCGUGAGGAGUACCCUUAAGUGGGACAACGAGCGCAACCCCCAUCUUGUGUUACAUUUGUCACAAGAGACUGCCCGAACUUUGUUCGGGAGGAAGGAGGGGCAGACGUCAAGUCAGCAUGGCCCUUAUACCUUGGGCUACACACAUGUUACAAUGGACAACAACAAUGAGCAUGCUACUUGGCAACAAGAUGCUAAUCUCAUAAAUUUGUCCUCAGUGGGGAUAGAGGUCUGCAACUCGACCUCUUGAACGCGGAAUUGGUAGUAAUCGCGGAUCAGUCAAGCCGCGGUGAAUACGUUCUUGCCUCUUGCACACACCGCCCGU
rnacentral:rRNA from 1 species